rnacentral:rRNA from 1 species
UGAGUAACACGUGGGUAACCUGCCCAUCAGAAGGGGAUAACACUUGGAAACAGGUGCUAAUACCGUAUAACAAUCGAAACCGCAUGGUUUUGAUUUGAAAGGCGCUUUCGGGUGUCGCUGAUGGAUGGACCCGCGGUGCAUUAGCUAGUUGGUGAGGUAACGGCUCACCAAGGCCACGAUGCAUAGCCGACCUGAGAGGGUGAUCGGCCACAUUGGGACUGAGACACGGCCCAAACUCCUACGGGAGGCAGCAGUAGGGAAUCUUCGGCAAUGGACGAAAGUCUGACCGAGCAACGCCGCGUGAGUGAAGAAGGUUUUCGGAUCGUAAAACUCUGUUGUUAGAGAAGAACAAGGAUGAGAGUAACUGUUCAUCCCUUGACGGUAUCUAACCAGAAAGCCACGGCUAACUACGUGCCAGCAGCCGCGGUAAUACGUAGGUGGCAAGCGUUGUCCGGAUUUAUUGGGCGUAAAGCGAGCGCAG